CCUACGGGAGGCAGCAGUGGGGAAUAUUGGGCAAUGGAGGCAACUCUGACCCAGCAACGCCGCGUGAAUGAUGAAGGUCUUCGGAUUGUAAAGUUCUUUUCUAAGGGAAGAAGAAAGUGACGGUACCUUAGGAAUAAGCCUCGGCUAACUACGUGCCAGCAGCCGCGGUAAUACGUAGGAGGCAAGCGUUAUCCGGAAUGACUGGGCGUAAAGGGUGCGUAGGUGGUUUGACAAGUUAGUAGCGAAACUCCGGAGCUCAACUUCGGAACUACUACUAAAACUGUUGGACUUGAGUGCAGGAGAGGCAAUCGGAAUUCCUAGUGUAGCGGUGGAAUGCGUAGAUAUUAGGAGGAACACCAGUGGCGAAGGCGGAUUGCUGGACUGUAACUGACGCUGAGGCACGAAAGCGUGGGGAGCAAACAGGAUUAGAUACCCUUGUAGUC
rnacentral:rRNA from 1 species